rnacentral:rRNA from 1 species
UGUAACCAAAAAUGACUCUCGGCAAUAGAUAUCUCGGCUCUCGCAUCGAUGAAGAACGUAGCAAAAUGUGAUACUUGGUGUGAAUUAUAGAAUCCCAUGAACCAUAGAGUAUUUGAACUCAAGUUGCGCCCGAAGCUAUUAGGUCGAGGGCAUGUCUUCCUGGGCAUCACACAUCGCGUCGCCCCCUCGCAUCGUGCCUCAAUCAUGGGGUGCACUAUACUGGCCUCCCAUGCACCUCGAGCUCGCGGCUGGCCUAAAUGCGAGUCCACGUCGACGGACGUCGCGGAAAGUGGUAGUUGUAUCUCAACUCUCUUUGUUGUCGCGACUAUAGCCCAUCGCGUGUCUAAACUCCAGGAUCCUUUAGCACUUCGACACUCCAACAGCAACCCUAGGUCAUGCGGGAUUACCCAAAAUAGCCCAGCAUUAGAAUCAGGCGGCUCUGUCACCCGAAUUAUAGUUUGGAGAAGCGUCCUCAGCGACGGAGCAGGCCCAACUCCCCUGGAAGUGGGCGCUAGAGAGGGUGAGAUCCCCAUUAUGCCCGGACCCUGUCACACCACGGGGCACUAUCUACGUGUUGGGUUGUUUGGGAAUGUAGCCCAAAUCAGACGGUGAAUUCCGUCUAAGGCUAAAUACGAGCAAAAGACCGAUAGCGAACAAGUACCACAAGGGAAAGAUGAAAAGGACUUUGAAAAGAGAGUCAAAGAGUGAUUGAAAUUAUCGGGAGAGAAGUUGAUGGAGGCCGGUGAUGCACCCUGGUAUGAUGUGGAAUGGCGAUGAGUCGGUCUGCCGAUCGACUCGGGGCAUGGACCAGCAUAGAUUAGGGGGACGCCCAAGGCUCGGGCUCCCGAUACACUCGUUAAAUGCCGUCUCCUCGAUUGUGGAAGGCAGCGCAUACCUCCAGCAUGCUUUGGCAUCUGCGCGCUAUGGACGCUGGCUUGUGGGCUCCCUAUUUAAACCAUCUUGAAAACCAGGAUGUGGCGGUCAACGACAACGUUAGGUAGUCAGGAGAAGUCGGCAGGAGCCUCGGGAAGAGUUAUCUUUUCUAUUUAAAAGACUGCCAACUCUUAAAUAGACUAAGCCGGAGGAAGGGUCCAGCGGCUGGAAGAGCACCGCACUUCGCAUGGUGUCCGGUGCACUACCGGUGGCCCUUGAAAAUCCAAAGGACCUAAUGCCAUCCAUGCCCAGUCGUACUCAUUACCACAUCAGGUCUCCAAGGGGAACAACCUCUGGUCGAUGGAAAAAUAUAUGCAAGGGAAGUGAGCGAAAUAGAUCCGUAACUUCUGGAAAAGGAUUGGCACUGAGGGCUGGGUAUGGGGGUCCCAGUCCCGAACCCGUCGGCUGUUGGUGGACUACUCGAGCUGCUCUUGUAGCGAGAGUGGGUCCCUGUGUGUCGAUUGGGUGACGGACUAGGAACGGUUCCUUCGGAGGCCUUCCUCGUGCGUCGAAUAGCCAACUCAGAACUGGAACGGACAAGGGGAAUCCAACUGUUUAAUUAAAACAAAGCAUUGCGAUAGUCCCAAUGGAUGUUCACGCAUUUUGAUUUCUGCCCAUUGCUCUGAAUGUCAAAGUGAAGAAAUUUAACCAAGCAUGGAUAAACGGCGGGAGUAACUAUGACUCUCUUAUGGUAGUCAAAUACCUCGUCAUCUAAUUAGCGAUGUGCAUGUAUGGAUUAAUGAGAUUCCCACUAUCCCUGUCUACUAUCCAAGAAACCACAACCAAGGGAACGGGCUUGGCAGAAUCAGUGGGGAAAGAAGACCCUCUUGAGCUUGACUCUACUCCGACUUUAUGAAAUGACUUGAGAGGUGUAGUAUAAGUGGGAGUCGUAAGGCGAAAGUGAAAUACCACUACUUUUAAUGUUAUUUACUUAUUUCAUGAAUCGGAAUGGGGCACUGCCCCUCUUUUUGGACCCAAGGCUCGCUCUGCGUGCCGAUCCGAGAUGAAGACAUUAUCAGGUAGGGAGUUUGGCUUGGGCGGCAUAUCUGUUAAAAGAUAAUGCAGGUGUCCUAUGAUGAGCUUAACGAGAACAGAAAUAUCGUGUGGAAUAGAAGGGUAAAAGCUUGUUUGAUUCUGAUUACUAGUACGAAUACGAACCAUGAAAACGUGGCCUAACGAUCCUUUAGACCUUUGGAAUUCGAAGCUAGAAGUGUCAGAAAAGUGUCACCACAGGGAUAACUGGCUUGUUGCAUCCAAGCGUUCAUAGCAACAUUGAUUUUUCAUCCUUCGAUGUCGGCUAUUCCUAUCAUUGUGAAGCAGAAUUCACCAAGUGUUGGACUGUUCACCCACCAAUAGGUAACGUGAGCUGGGUUUAGACCGUCGUGAGACAGGUUAGUUUUACCCCACUUAUGACAGUGUUGCAGUAGUAAUUCAACCUAGUACGAGAGAAAACAUUGAUUCACACAAGUUUUCAUCGCACUUGGUUGAAAAGCCAGUGGCGCAAAGCUACCGUGUGCUGGAUUAUGACUGAACGCCUCUAAGUCAGAAUCCAGGCUAGAAGCGACGCAUGCGCCCGCUGUCUACUUUCUGACCCAUAGUAGGGGCCUCGGCCCCCAAGGACAUGUAUCAUUUACUAAGACACCGCGAAGGAAGAGUCGCGGUGGCCGCCUUGAAGUGUAAUUUCCAUCAAGCGGUGGGUAGAAUCCUUUGCGGAUGACUUAAAUAUACGAUGGGUUAUUGUAAGUGGAAGAGUGGCCUUGCUGCCACGAUC